GUAACUUCCCAAACAACAAAAACUUGUCCCUAGAUGUGGUGACUGUGAGCAGGAGUUAUUUAUAAAUUGUUACAAUGAAUUAGAAAUGUGUAAAAGUGAACUAAUAAUAAAUUUACUUUUGUAACUAAAGCUUGUUUACAAAUAUGUCUUUUGUGGUGAAUUCUGAAAAGACCUUGGCUGGGAACCAUAUAAUUUCCUUGUUUUUAUAACUUCUUUGCCUGUGGUGUAUCUUAAUCUGCUUCUAUGAGGUACUGUAGAUUUUAGAAGAUAGGCAGCCUGGAGGAAGCCAAACUUGCUUUUCCUCUGGGAUAUCAGGCUGGAAAGGAAAGCAAACUGCCUGCCACGCUGCUCGGCUUGUGCCAAGUAAUGCCUUUCAAGAGCUGGCAUGAUCCUUCCAUCUCAUUCACGUGACUUUUCUGUCUCAGACAGGCUACUGGGUGUCUCUUGCGGAAGAGGACACAAGAAAAAACACUGGAUUUCAACAGAAAAGUUGAGAAACCUGAAUUUAAGGUAUGCUAAGGAAAGUGUCACUCUCCUACCUGACAAAUGAAGGGGUUUGUCGAAGUUUAGAAGAGUUUUGAACAACAGUGCAUGGACCUGAAGUCCACGGCCGACUCCUCCUGCAAGCACCCUGCCUGCAGUUGCUUCAACCUUUGGGGUAGGAAGGAGAGUGUGUGUGUGUGUGUGUGUGUGUGAGCCUCAUGAGCUGCAUGAAGUCAAGAGCUGAGAAGCUUCCUGUUUCCUUUUUAAGGCUUAACAGAAUUUGAAAGCAGCCGCUGCUGCGACCUGGACCAAUGAUCUGGGCAGAGAGACGGGGGAGUUUCAGCUCGGCUGCGCCUGGCGCCCGUUACGAAUGCCAGCUUGGCCUUCUCCUCCCCACGUGGAGCACGGGCAAGAAGGGGCUGCCUGCAGGCCACUCCUGAGGGCAGCCAGGCUGAGAUGCAGCUGGACACCCAGUGUCUGCUCUUCCAGCAAGCGAGGGUCUCUGCCUAUUCCUGCCCCUGGGACACAUGAGCAGGGAUGUGGAUGCAGGAGUGAUGCUCUUGAGGCAAUUUCUUCUGGCUCUCUUGGAGAAAUGCUGUAAAGUGAAAUGGGAGGCAACCUGAGGCAGUCGCUCAGACUAGCAGCAGGACCGUAAGCCCAUCUUGGACGCCUGGGUUGGCUGAUGGUACGUUCAGAUGGGACCACGGGCACCCCGCACCCACGCGCUGGCUGCACUGGACGUCUGCAGCGCUGGAUAUGGUUGCAGUGCUCCGGACAUGGGUUAUGUGUCCUGGCUUGAGCGCUCUGGUCACARCCGUGCUUACAGCUUGUACUACAGCACGUGAAUUAAUACUAGAUUGUACAAAAACACUGACCRCCAUUGAGACAGAGGUGACCUAAGUUAUUUAAAUGCUUCCUGGAAAAUGCUAAAGAUUAUUGAACAAAAAUAGCCACUGCAUUGUAAUAUGAAAGGAGGGAUGCAGUUUUUUAUUAGUAAUAAUGAAUGUUUGUCCUAUAAUCUGUGAAAACAAUUUGGGUCACCACUGUCUAGCAAGUAAAACAUCUUGAAGGGAGCCUUUAUUUGAAGGCUAACCUCCAUGUUUAAUUUUUUCCAGACUCUACUAUAAAUAGUYUCCGUGUGACAUGAUACUGGGCUGUCAUAUCCAUCCAUACUGUGUGUCUUCUAAAGGCACCCGGGCAAAGGGAGCCCUUCUUUGUGGGCACUUGCAAAGUGUGCCAGAUAUGGGACAGAAGAGAAACACUUGCCUGUGUAAAAGAACUAAAAGCAACAAAAUAAACCCAUCCCAA
ensembl:lncRNA